UUUCUUUGCUAGAAGAAUCGGGUUCUAUUGAGAGAGCUCUUUAUGAGUUGCACAAGAAAGAGCCAAAAAUAGUUGAUAAAUUGGCUUUUAAAGAACAAGAGGUUUCUCUUUUAGUAAAGCUUGGUCGCUUUGAAGAAGGUGCCACUUUGUUCAAGGCUCUA